AGUGGGGGGAUAUUGCACAAUGGGGGGAACCCUGAUGCAGCGACGCCGCGUGGGUGAAGAAGCGCCUCGGCGCGUAAAGCCCUGUCAGCAGGGAAGAAAAUGACGGUACCUGAAGAAGAAGCCCCGGCUAACUACGUGCC
rnacentral:rRNA from 1 species